GCGAAUGUAGUUCAGUGGUAGAGCAACAGGUUUUCCAACCUGUGGAUGUAGGUUCGACUCCAACCAUUCGCU
rnacentral:tRNA from 2 species